rnacentral:lncRNA from 1 species
GCUCAGGUCUCAGUGUUUAUCUUCAUGGAUGACUUCUUGGCCCAGACCAGAUUGAAUUGUUGCCAGAUGAUAUGAAGUAAACCAGGUCCAUCACACAAGGGGCACCUUCUUGUUCUAAGUUGAUGUCGUUCCGUCACAUGAGGCCGGUGCCACGUAUCAGAGGUCUACGGUGACUUUAUUUCGUGAUAUGAUUCAUCGUGAAAGCAAAUGCCAUGUUGAUGACAUGAUGGCAAAGUCCCAAGCAGAACAGGGGCAUCCGGCAGACUUGGGGCAAGUUGUUUGACCGGUUGAGAUAACUCAUACUUUUGAGUCUGAAUCAGUGCACUUAUGGAGUGUUGUCCAUCAAGCUACCGAGGCUUGUUGUGAGCGAAUCAGAGGAAUCGAGGUCGAUCCUGCUAAAAAAAA